AGAGUUGAUCCUGGCUCAGAGUAAACGUUGGCGGCGUGCCUAACACAUGCAAGUCGAACGAUCUCCUUGUAGCUUGCUAUUUGAAGAGAGUGGCGAACGGGUGAGUAACACGUGGGUAAUCUCCCCUCGAGUGAGGAAUAACUCCGCGAAAGCGGAGAUAAUACCGCAUAAUAUUCUGGAGCAUAUGCUUUCAGAAUCAAAGCUUUCCGAGCAAUCGGAUGGCGCUUGAGGAUGAGCCUGCGGCCUAUUAGCUAGUUGGUAGGGUAAUGGCCUACCAAGGUAAUGAUGGGUAGCCGGCCUGAGAGGGUGUACGGCCACACUGGGACUGCGACACGGCCCAGACUCCUACGGGAGGCAGCAGUGGGGAAUUUUGCGCAAUGGGCGGAAGCCUGACGCAGCGACGCCGCGUGGAGGAUGAAGGCCUUCGGGUUGUAAACUCCUGUCAGAGGAAAAGAAGCCCCGAUUUAUCGGGGUUGACGGUAUCCUCGGAGGAAGCCCCGGCUAACUACGUGCCAGCAGCCGCGGUAAUACGUAGGGGGCAAACGUUGCUCGGAAUUACUGGGCGUAAAGGGUGUGUAGGUGGCUGAGUAAGUCAAAGAUGAAAUCCCAAGGCUCAACCUUGGAACUGUCUUUGAAACCGUUCAGCUUGAGGAUAGUAGAGGAGGACGGAAUUCCCGGUGGAGCGGUGAAAUGCGUAGAUAUCGGGAGGAACACCAGAGGCGAAGGCGGUUCUCUAAACUAUUCCUGACACUGAAACACGAAAGCUAGGGGAGCAAACGGGAUUAGAUACCCCGGUAGUCCUAGCUGUAAACGAUGGGCACUAGAUGUUUUCGCUUUUUUGCGAAAGUGUCGUAGCUAACGCGUUAAGUGCCCCGCCUGGGGAGUACGGUCGCAAGGCUGAAACUCAAAUGAAUUGACGG
rnacentral:rRNA from 1 species